rnacentral:rRNA from 1 species
GAUGAACGCUAGCUACAGGCUUAACACAUGCAAGUCGAGGGCCCGGCGCCCGGGUGAGUAACACGUAUCCAAACUGCCCUUUACUCGGGGAUAGCCUUUCGAACGAAAGAUUAAUACCCGAUGUACAGGCUGGGGAUGCGUUCCAUUCGGUUGUUGGUGAGGUAACGCGUCACCAAUCCUUCGAUGGCUAGGGGUUCUGAGAGGAAGGACCCCCACAUGGGAACUGAGGCACGGUCCAAACUCCUACGGGAGGCAGGAGUGAGGAAUAGUUGUCAAUGGGCGGUAGACUGAACCAGCAAAGUAUAGUGAAGGAUGAAUGCUUAUGGGUCGUAAACUUCUGUUAUAUAAGAAUAUGUAUUAUAUGAAGAAGGAUCGGCUAACUCCGUGCCAGCAGCCGCGGUAAUUC